CAGAACGAACGCUGGCGGCGCGUCUUAAGCAUGCAAGUCGAGCGGCAGGGUGCAGCAAUGCAUCCGAGAGCGGCGGACUGGUGAGUAACGCGUGGGUGACCUACCUCUGGGUUGGGGAUAGCCAUUAGAAAUAGUGGGUAAUACCGAAUGUGGUUACGAGGCUAUGGUCUUGUAAAGAAAGGAGCCAAGGCUCCGCCCGGGGAUGGGCCCGCGUCCCAUUAGCUAGUUGGAGGGGUAAGAGCCUGCCAAGGCGAUGAUGGGUAGCCGGCCUGAGAGGGUGAACGGCCACACUGGGACUGAGAUACGGCCCAGACUCCUACGGGAGGCAGCAGCUAAGAAUAUUCCGCAAUGGCCGAAAGGCUGACGGAGCGACGCCGCGUGGAUGAGGAAGGCCGAAAGGUUGUAAAGUUCUUUUGUUGCUGAAGAAUAAGGGCGGGAGGGAAUGCCCGUCUGAUGACGUAAGCGACGAAUAAGCCCC
rnacentral:rRNA from 1 species